CUAAAAUAAACACACUGUUUUAAAGAUUUUCCCCUAUUUUUCCCAUUCUUUUUAAGAUUUCCCCCUAUUUUCUCUGUUCCUAAAAAAUCUUCAUUUUUCUCUCAGGUCUCUUCCACCGAUCUUUCUCUGCGAAAACCUUUUCCUCCAAUUUUUAGUCUUCACGUGAAAAGCAUCCACCGAUUAUUUGAAGUGCAGCCACCGUCGCACGUCAUCUACCGCACGCCUCCAGUCUUGCUGCCUUUGUCUUUAGAUGAACUACAUGAUCAUUUACCAUAUGGCUUUUCAAAACCAUCGUUUAUCAUGAACUACACACGAUCGUGUAUCAUCGUCUACACAAUUAUUUACUAGGACUUUUUGGAAACCAUCGUUUAUCACGAACUAACAAUUGUGUAUCAUCAUGAACUUCACGAUUAUGUAUCAUUUCCUACACGAUCGCAUAUCUUGAUCGUUUAGAAGAACGCACUCGUGUAGCCGAUGUUGAUACUACCUACACGAUUGUGUAUCAUUUCCUACACGAUCCAUAUCAUGAUCUUUUAGAAGAAGAAUUACACGUGCGCGUGCUGUCGAUUAAUUAAGUGUUGACUGAUGCAUUUUUUGUAUUUUCCAUCGUGGGCUUGUGGGUUUUCUCCGCUUUCAAAAUUGUUCUAUGCAAUGUAAAUAUUUUGCUAGUUUGUUAUAUUAAAUAUUUUAUCA